rnacentral:tRNA from 2 species
CAAGAAAAGGUCAGGAUAGCUCAGUUGGU